AGAGUUUGAUCAUGGCUCAGAAUGAACGCUGGCGGCGUGCUUUACACAUGCAAGUCGAGCGAGGCGUCCCGCAAGGGAUAGUCGAGCGGCGAACGGGUGAGUAACGCGUGGAUAACCUGCCCUGAGGUGGGGGAUAACCAAGGGAAACUUUGGCUAAUACCGCAUGAUACCGAGAGGUCAAAGGGGGCUCGCAAGGGCUCUCGCCAUAGGAGGGGUCCGCGUACGAUUAGCUAGUUGGUAGGGUAAUGGCCUACCAAGGCGACGAUCGUUAGCCGGCCUGAGAGGGUGAUCGGCCACACUGGAACUGAGACACGGUCCAGACUCCUACGGGAGGCAGCAGUGGGGAAUUUUGCGCAAUGGGCGAAAGCCUGACGCAGCAACGCCGCGUGGAGGAUGAAGGUCCUUGGAUUGUAAACUCCUGUCAGCAGGGAAAAAGCGACUUGACCUCAUACGUCAGGGAGUUGAUUGUACCUGCAGAGGAAGCCCCGGCUAACUCUGUGCCAGCAGCCGCGGUAAUACAGAGGGGGCAAGCGUUAUUCGGAAUUAUUGGGCGUAAAGGGCGCGUAGGCGGCUUGGCAAGUGGAAGGUGAAAUCCCUCGGCUUAACCGAGGAACUGCCCUCCAAACUGCUUCGCUUGAGACCGGGAGAGGUGAGUGGAAUUCCCAGUGUAGCGGUGAAAUGCGUAGAUAUUGGGAGGAACACCAGUGGCGAAGGCGGCUCACUGGACCGGUACUGACGCUGAUGCGCGAAAGCGUGGGGAGCAAACGGGAUUAGAUACCCUAGUAGUCC
rnacentral:rRNA from 1 species